rnacentral:rRNA from 1 species
AUUGAACGCUGGCGGCAUGCCUUACACAUGCAAGUCGAACGGCAGCACGGGAGCAAUCCUGGUGGCGAGUGGCGAACGGGUGAGUAAAGUAUCGGAACGUGCCCAGUCGUGGGGGAUAACGUAGCGAAAGUUACGCUAAUACCGCAUACGAUCUAUGGAUGAAAGCGGGGGAUCGCAAGACGUCGCGCGAUUGGAGCGGCCGAUAUCAGAUUAGGUAGUUGGUGGGGUAAAGGCUCACCAAGCCGACGAUCUGUAGCUGGUCUGAGAGGACGACCAGCCAAACGGGGACUGAGACACGGCCCAGACUCCUACGGGAGGCAGCAGUGGGGAAUUUUGGACAAUGGGCGAAGGCCUGAUCCAGCCAUGCCGCGUGCAGGAUGAAGGCCUUCGGGUUGUAAACUGCUUUUGUACGGAACGAAAAGGUUUGGCCUAAUAAGCUGAGCUCAUGACGGUACCGUAAGAAUAAGCACCGGCUAACUACGUGCCAGCCGCCGCGGUAA